rnacentral:miRNA from 1 species
UCCCUCUCGGUCGAUGAGAGUGUACACUCUCACCGGCCGGGAGGAAUCCUCUCAGCGGCCGAGAGGGAUUCCUCUUGGCCGGUGAGAGUGCCAAGAGGAAUCACUCUCAUCGACCGAGAGGGAUUCCUCUUGGCCGGUGAGAGUAUACACUCUCAUCGACCGAGAGGGA